UGGCUUGAUUAUUUCUGACGGAAGGUUUGUUUCUACAAGGUUGGGUUCAAGAUAGACAAGAUCAAGAACUCUAACAGGUGAUCCGAGCAGCUAGAAGAACUCAUUGGGAAGAUUAGGCGGUGUAAGUGGUUUUUUUGCUGGCUAUGAUUGGUUGCUUUCUUGCUGGCUCGGUUAUUUCCGACGGGAAGUUUGUUUCUGCAAGGUUGGGUUCAAGAUAGACAAGGUCAACAACUCCAAGGGUGAUCCAAGCAGCUAGAAGAACUCACUUGGAACAUGAGGCUGUACAAGUGGUUAGUCUCACUGAAAGUCGUCAUGUGCUCUCAGAAUGCACUAUUCUUUAUUUCUACUUGAAUAUGCAUUUUCAUAUUUUCUAUACGUAGCAUGAGUUAUUAUACGCUGUUUUAUAUUUACGUAGAUUUGCUCAGAGUCCUUGCAGUUUAAUCAAUGAUUUGAUCGUCUACUAAAGAUGAGGAGAAAAAGAAAAACAGUCUGUGAUCAACAAGCAGCAAAGUGGCGAGAAGCGGUUUUAGGUUGAUAGUUUUUUUUUCUCUUUGUUGUGUCAGCUUUAGGCGACCUCUUCUCAAGCACUGAUUCACCUCAAACAUACCAGGAUUUGUUUUUUUAGGUUUUUAUGUGUUAUCAUAGAUUCGUUACCAAUCAUAAUGUUUUUAUCUCUAUGACCAUGCAACUAAUGAUACCUUUCUGUUCUGCCUAAAAUUCAUGUGCAGAUCAAUGAGGUGGGUGCAGUUAGCAAUCAAAUAGAUAUGAUGUUCUCUUCAGUAAGGUAAAAUACGUGAAGAUUGUACUCUUUCUU
rnacentral:lncRNA from 1 species